UAAAAGGGUGCUCGUUACUACUAUGUUUUUUUUUCUAAAUGUAGUAAAUAACGCAUUAUAGUUAUCAAUAGCCAAAAAUUUCUGGCUAAAUCUUUGAUUUCUAUAGUGGAGUAUGGUUAUCAGGACAUACUCAGCAUAAAAUUUUUGUAACAGGAGGCUGUUAGCUGCUACUUUUGCGCCGACGCCUCU